UACAUUAUGGUGUAUAGGCACGAAAGAUUUUGAUUCUUUAGGAAUAUCUAGUUUAUUUAAUGUAA
rnacentral:tRNA from 1 species